GCUAACUCCGUGCCAGCAGCCGCGGUAAUACGGAGGGGGUUAGCGUUGUUCGGAAUUACUGGGCGUAAAGCGCGCGUAGGCGGACCAGAAAGUUGGGGGUGAAAUCCCGGGGCUCAACCCCGGAACGGCCUCCAAAACUCCUGGUCUUGAGUUCGAGAGAGGUGAGUGGAAUUCCGAGUGUAGAGGUGAAAUUCGUAGAUAUUCGGAGGAACACCAGUGGCGAAGGCGACUCACUGGCUCGAUACUGACGCUGAGGUGCGAAAGUGUGGGGAGCAAACAGGAUUAGAUACCCUGGUAGUCCACACCGUAAACGAUGAAUGCCAGUCGUCGGCGCGCAUGCGUGUCGGUGACACACCUAACGGAUUAAGCAUUCCGCCUGGGGAGUACGGUCGCAAGAUUAAAACUCAAAG
rnacentral:rRNA from 1 species